GGGGAAUUUUCCGCAAUGGGCGAAAGCCUGACGGAGCAAUACCGCGUGAGGGAGGAAGGCUCUUGGGUUGUAAACCUCUUUUCUCAGGGAAGAAAAAAAUGACGGUACCUGAGGAAUAAGCAUCGGCUAACUCCGUGCCAGCAGCCGCGGUAAUACGGAGGAUGCAAGCGUUAUCCGGAAUGAUUGGGCGUAAAGCGUCCGCAGGUGGCUGUGUAAGUCUGCUGUUAAAUAGUGAGGCUCAACCUCAUAAAGGCAGUGGAAACUACACGGCUAGAGUGCGUUCGGGGCAGAGGGAAUUCCUGGUGUAGCGGUGAAAUGCGUAGAGAUCAGGAAGAACACCGGUGGCGAAAGCGCUCUGCUAGGCCGCAACUGACACUGAGGGACGAAAGCUAGGGGAGCGAAUGGGAUUAGAUACCCCAGUAGUCCUAGCCGUAAACGAUGGAUACUAGGCGUGGCUUGUAUCGACCCGAGCCGUGCCGUAGCUAACGCGUUAAGUAUCCCGCCUGGGGAGUACGCAGGCAACUGUGAAACUCAAAGGAAUUGACGGGGGCCCGCACAAGCGGUGGAGUAUGUGGUUUAAUUCGAUGCAACGCGAAGAACCUUACCAGGACUUGACAUGUCGCGAAUCUGGGCGAAAGCUCGGAGUGCCUUCGGGAGCGCGAACACAGGUGGUGCAUGGCUGUCGUCAGCUCGUGUCGUGAGAUGUUGGGUUAAGUCCCGCAACGAGCGCAACCCUCGUUUUUAGUUGCCAUCAUUAAGUUGGGCACUCUAGAGAGACUGCCGGUGACAAACCGGAGGAAGGUGGGGAUGACGUCAAGUCAGCAUGCCCCUUACGUUCUGGGCUACACACGUACUACAAUGCUACGGACAAAGGGCAGCUACACAGCGAUGUGAUGCUAAUCUCAUAAACCGUAGCUCAGUUCAGAUCGCAGGCUGCAACUCGCCUGCGUGAAGGAGGAAUCGCUAGUAAUUGCAGGUCAGCAUACUGCAGUGAAUUCGUUCCCGGGCCUUGUACACACCGCCCGUCACACCAUGGAAGCUGGUAGUGCCCGAAGUCAUUACCCCAACCUUAGGGAGGGGGAUGCCUAAGGCAGGACUGGUGACUGGGGUGAAGUCGUAACAAGGUAGCCGUACCGGAAGGUGUGGCUGGAUCACCUCCUU
rnacentral:rRNA from 1 species